rnacentral:rRNA from 1 species
UACGUAGGGUGCGAGCGUUGUCCGGAAUUACUGGGCGUAAAGAGUUCGUAGGCGGUUUGUCGCGUCGUUUGUGAAAACCCGGGGCUCAACUUCGGGCUUGCAGGCGAUACGGGCAGACUUGAGUGAUGUAGGGGAGACUGGAAUUCCUGGUGUAGCGGUGAAAUGCGCAGAUAUCAGGAGGAACACCGAUGGCGAAGGCAGGUCUCUGGGCAGUAACUGACGCUGAGGCGCGAAAGCGUGGGGAGCAAACAGG